UAAUACGGAGGGUGCAAGCGUUGCUCGGAAUCACUGGGCGUAAAGCGACCGCAGGCGGCCUGACAAGUCGGAUGUGAAAGCCCUGGGCUCAACUCAGGAAUUGCAUUCGAAACUGGCAGGCUUGAGUACGGGAGAGGGGGGUGGAAUUCCUGGUGUAGGGGUGAAAUUCGUUGAUAUCAGGAGGAACACCGGCGGCGAAGGCGGCCCCCUGGCCCGCAACUGACGCUCAUGGUCGAAAGCGUGGGGAGCAAACAGGAUUAGAUACCCUGGUAGUCCACGCCGUAAACGAUGAUUGCUAGGUGUUGGUGGUAUUCACCCCAUCAGUGCCGAAGUUAACGCAUUAAGCAAUCCGCCUGGGAAGUACGGCCGCAAGGCUA
rnacentral:rRNA from 1 species